rnacentral:rRNA from 1 species
ACGAACGCUGGCGGCGUGCUUAACACAUGCCAGUCGAACGGAAAGGCCCUGCUUUUGUGGGGUGCUCGAGUGGCGAACGGGUGAGUAACACGUGAGUAACCUGCCCUUGACUUUGGGAUAACUUCAGGAAACUGGGGCUAAUACCGGAUAGGAGCUCCUGCUGCAUGGUGGGGGUUGGAAAGUUUCGGCGGUUGGGGAUGGACUCGCGGCUUAUCAGCUUGUUGGUGGGGUAGUGGCUUACCAAGGCUUUGACGGGUAGCCGGCCUGAGAGGGUGACCGGCCACAUUGGGACUGAGAUACGGCCCAGACUCCUACGGGAGGCAGCAGUGGGGAAUAUUGCACAAUGGGCGGAAGCCUGAUGCAGCAACGCCGCGUGCGGGAGGACGGCCUUCGGGUUGUAAACCGCUUUCGCCUGUGACGAAGCGUGAGUGACGGUAAUGGGUAAAGAAGCACCGGCUAACUACGU